rnacentral:rRNA from 1 species
GACAGAGGAUGCAAGCGUUAUCCGGAAUGAUUGGGCGUAAAGCGUCUGUAGGUGGCUUUUCAAGUCCGCCGUCAAAUCCCAGGGCUCAACCCUGGACAGGCGGUGGAAACUACCAAGCUGGAGUACGGUAGGGGCAGAGGGAAUUUCCGGUUGAGCGGUAGAGAUCAGAAAGAACACCAACAGCGAAAGCACUCUGCUGGGCCGACACUGACACUGAGAGACGAAAGCUAGGGGAGCAAAUGGG